GACGAACGCUGGCGGCGUGCUUAACACAUGCAAGUCGAACGAUGAACUUGGAGCUUGCUCUGGGGGAUUAGUGGCGAACGGGUGAGUAACACGUGAGUAACCUGCCCUGGACUCUGGGAUAACUUCGAGAAAUCGGAGCUAAUACCGGAUAGGACCUUGCACCGCAUGGUGGGGGGUGGAAAGUUUUUCGGUUUGGGAUGGACUCGCGGCCUAUCAGCUUGUUGGUGAGGUAAUGGCUCACCAAGGCGUCGACGGGUAGCCGGCAUGUGAGGGUUACCGGCCACACUGGGACUGAGACACGACCCAAGCGUCUCCGGGAGGCAGCAGUGGUGAAUAUUGGACAAUGGGCGAAAGCCUGAUCCAGCAACGCCGCGUGAGAGAUGACGGCCUUCGGGUUGUACACCUCUUUCAGCGGGGACGAAGCGCAAGUGACGGUACCCGCAGAAGAAGCACCGGCCAACUACAUGCCCGCCGCCGCCGUAAGAC
rnacentral:rRNA from 1 species